AACUGACACCUUCCACUACGGAUCGUCCGGCACGUACCUGCCGGUGAAGGGAAAAAUUA
rfam:Actinomyces sp. VTL4_2 Scaffold3, whole genome shotgun sequence.